rnacentral:rRNA from 1 species
AGUGAACGCUGGCGGUAGGCCUAACACAUGCAAGUCGAACGGCAGCACAGUAAGAGCUUGCUCUUACGGGUGGCGAGUGGCGGACGGGUGAGGAAUACAUCGGAAUCUACUUUUUCGUGGGGGAUAACGUAGGGAAACUUACGCUAAUACCGCAUACGACCUACGGGUGAAAGCAGGGGAUCUUCGGACCUUGCGCGAUUGAAUGAGCCGAUGUCGGAUUAGCUAGUUGGCGGGGUAAAGGCCCACCAAGGCGACGAUCCGUAGCUGGUCUGAGAGGAUGGUCGGCCACACUGGAACGGAGACACGGUCCAGACUCCUACGGGAGGCAGCAGUGGGGAAUAUUGGACAAUGGGCGCAAGCCUGAUCCAGCCAUACCGCGUGGGUGAAGAAGGCCUUCGGGUUGUAAAGCCCUUUUGUUGGGAAAGAAAAGCAGCAGGUUAAUACCCCGCUGUUCUGACGGUACCCAAAGAAUAAGCACCGGCUAACUUCGUG